UCUUUUUAUUUCCUCUUCUGACUGCACAAUCUUGAUUAAUGGACACGAUAGUAUUGGCAACAGAAUAAAAAGAACAAUGCCUGGCAAAAUGAUCAGGAGCAAAUUUUAAAGACUAGUAUCAGAAGGGUCUUCCCUUCCCUGAUGAAGGAAGCAUGCAGAUAGUCAUUGGUAAACUAGAUAUCCAGGCAAACGAGGCUGAAAUUUCUGGCACAGCAGAGGAUGCAAAUCAACAAGGCAUUAAAGUAAGUAAACAGAGGCCUGGAAAGUGAACAGAGAAUAUUUGUGCUUGAUGUAAUUAUAAUGAAGACAGCAGCAGGAAGGGAUAGGACAGGAAAGGGAAUUGCUUUAUCGGUGCACAUGCACUAGGUUAAAUGGUUUUGAUACUAGGAAUGCCAAGAGGAGGAAGUAUUUGUAAAUUUUUGCCACAAGGGAUGGCACUCCCCAGUGCCAAAAGCUGCUGUCUGUGGGAGGCUUUCCAUUCACUCUGGUGAGCCAGGUCAGGCCACAGGCAAAGCCUCGUUCCUGGGAGCCCCACACUGGUUGCAGAACUGCUAAUGACAUGAGGAAAGCAAGCCUCGUGCUCGGUAAUUGCCCAACAGUCCGGGAGAGAAAUGUCCGUGCUACCUAGUAGGCAGGCAGCACGGAGAGACCAGAGAGUCCAGAAAAACAAGCAUAUUGUUCUCAUACAGGGAGCUCUAGAUGACAUCUCUCUGCCUUAGUCUAGACUGGAACUGACCUUAUGAAUUCGGGCAAUUCUUCUCUGUCCUGACUCUUGCAUGAAUGGCUUUAGCGAGCCUUCUCCCCGCUGUCUCCAGCCAGAGCAGAUUUCAGAUCUUAAUUGAAAAGGAAAUGUUUGCCAAAGGUCAGUCUGAGUGGAAGAAAAGCCCCUUUCAUCGUGGCUGGGGGGGUAGAGCAGAGCAAAUAAGUGUCUCGAGGGAGGCAUGGAGAGACUUUGUGAUUUAUUUCUUAGGGGGAAGGUGGGAACCGCUGAAUUUUCCCUCUCUUAUUUAUUUUUGUGCAGUCUUCUCAAACUCAACACAUUUCUAGCAAGACCAUACAUCAUUUCAGUCCUUACACAGUAGUUCUCAAGAUCAUCCCUUUUUCUACACAUAUGCACAGGCUCGAUAAGUCACACCGCUCACGGCUUGGAGAUCUCUGCGUGGAUCAGUGCACAGGAAGCUUUAAAGUAAGUGGCUGGAGCGUCUCAAGUCACUUGUCCAUUACCACCAACCACCUUGAAUGCCAAAUGGCGUUCAGAGACCAGAUGGGCAUCGCUCCUCAGUUUUUAUCUGAGGACACAAUGUUCUUUUUGUGCUUACAGGCAAUAUAUGGCACAAACGGACUGACUCUGUAUUCACUUCUUUUAAAGCUUUUAUUGUUGUUGCUGCUGUUUGAAAUCUCUCAUCUGAGGCUUUUGUUCCACACUGUAUUGCACUCCUGGGUGCUGGGAAGCUGAGAGAUGAAUUGGGAUGCUGGUACUUAAGAGAGGGGAACAGGCAGAGGAGGAACAGCCAGCCCAUUUCUCCAGCACUUUUGAUGAUUCUGGGUGUCUGGAAAACUGAAAGAGAAUCCUGGCUACAGGACAGUACGACAGAACAAAAGAUUGAGCUCUGUCUUGCAAAACUGCCUCGACAAAGUGCUUUGAUACUGAGAGGUACAACUAAACUAAAAACCUGCCACCCGUUUUCCCAGAGCAUUCAUGGUUAAGCGUGCUCCUGCUCCUGUGUUUGCUUCUGCAAACAACCAUCAUAAUAGAUGUCCUCUCUCUCCACCGUGGUAUUUGGCAUCCAGACAUCUUACUGAGUAAUGGUUCUCCAUCAGCGGGUUGAAAAACAGGACAGCCUCACUCGCUACCUCUUUUGGAGAUUGUCCAAAAGCUGCAGAGGAUCUUUUUGUUUUCCAGUAGCCUUGACACCUGUCUUACACAGGUACCAGUGAUCUGGAGGCAGGCAGUACGUGCUGGCUUCCAGAGAUGCUGAGUGCUGUGCUCCACGUGAUUUCUGUGAAUUUAUGUCCCUUGAAGGUCAGGUCCCGUGCCUAUAAAUUAUUGUCACUUGCCAGGUACGAUGUUCAAAAUAAGCAUGCUUGCUCUUCUGUCCAGCUCAGCAAGAGGGAAGAGCAAGAAAACCCGUUGUGGCUCCGAGUAUUAACAGCUCACUGCCCCCACAAUUCAGGAUCCUUUCUGUCUUACACACCUCCAAUUGGUCUUACUGCCCUCUCAGUGCACGAGGAAAGCCUUUCCUCGGUCGGACCAGUUAUCCUCCUGUUAUGUGGAUGCCUAAAAGCAACGUGUGCGUGAUCCCUACAACGCAGUCCUGCCGAGGAGUUGCUGAACACGUUGUUCAGAGCCCUUGAUUGCAGUCUUGAGAAUCCUAGUUACUACCCUGGCUAAAUCAACAGCGCUGUUAGAAGAAUAACUAUAAUCUCCUGGCUUCUUUCUCCCAGGAAGACGGCUGGUAAAAUAGAUGGUUCUGCUGUACCGCAACUUCCUAUGGCUGUUUUUGAUUGCAUUUUCCUCCCUGGUGCUACAAUAAGAAUUAAACUCCUGUCUCCGGUGCAGUUUUCAGCUGCUCUCCCGCUGUGAAGCGAUGCUCUGAAAUGCCCGGUGAUUCACAGCUCUGAUAUUUCAUGUCUAAUGGAAUUAUUUCUGGACGGAAUUGUCGGCUUUCCUGUGAGAGGGGGACUCAUAAAGCUGGUAGGAGACAAAUUAUGUGUGUCUACCCCUGUCUCCUCCGGAGCACUUCUCAAAAUCAAAUUACUUGGCUACACUUUUAAAAAUUUCUUCUAUUGCAUGAAUGUGUAAGUAAUUUAAAGUAAAACACAGGGGCAUUGUAAUUACACAAAGCACCUGAAAUUUAGGGUUACAGACGGACUUGAAGAAAGACCCAGCUGUGUCACAGCACAGAAGAAUAAGAGAGGGAGAUCUGGAGGCUCUCUCCUUGUAGUCUGUGCUAUCACAAACUCCGUGUUACAGGUUUAUAUGCCUAUGAGGUGGUGAUUGACUGACACAUGAGGUGUGUUAUGUAUUGCUGGAUCAGGAUUAAGACAUUUCAUUGUCUGAAGUCAGUCUGAGCUUAAAGUGCCCUCAGUCCCUCCGUGCUCCCUGCUCCUGCUCCCAUCAGAGGUGGCCGUGCCCGCCAGGCUGCGUGAGGGGCAGAAACACCCAGGGGAGUGGGCUGCUUUUCCUGGUGCUCGGAAAUCCCCCAAAACUACUCCAGGGUUUAAGUCAGAAAUCUGAGCUGCGGAGUGGGGCUUGAGAGCCUGCUGAUGACUCACACAAGGAUUUCGCGGCGCUGGGAGGCAUUUCUUUUCAAUUAGUUACGUUCCCACAGCAAGCAGAUAUCCCCCGAGUGAUACCAAUUCCGACAUGCUCUUGUCCGUCAGGAGAAUGCAUAAGGCCCCACCUGCGGGUCCGGGGGGUGCUGCACACCACAAGGUUCAUAAAAUGGGCACAAACCUGCCCCACUGAGGCUGCAGCAGGUGGGGGCCCAGCCCCACAAAGCUGGGCAGGGGUCCCGGGGGCACGGAGGGGAUGAGCAUCCACCACAAGCUGGGCGUUUCGGAUGAAGAUACUGGAGAAGACCGAAGUCAGUUGGGUGAGACACCACUGAACUUGCUGGCUCUGACCUGGAGAGGGACCUGUGGAGUCCCACAGCCUGCCUUUCUUACCUUGGGCGUUGCAAUAUGCAGAUGCAUUCCCAGCUUCGCAGCGCUCGUCAUGAUGGAGUGGAGGACAUUGUUUCCAUCCCCGAUCCAGGUGAUGGUGAGCCCGUUCAGACCACCGUAGUGCUCCUGCCAGAUGAACCACACAGCCCUGGGGUUAUGUUCCAGGAAAAUGAAGCAAGAUGAUGACACAGGGAGCAAGAUGAUGCCAAAGAAUGCAGUGAUUUUAUGAGGGUAUGGAUUACCCUAACCUGGAAGAGCACUGCAGUGUUAACUGUAGCUUUGCCUGAUUUCACUCACAGCCCGUAUAUGUGCAGCUACUCUGGCCCUUAGACACCAACAGAUAAGGUCUAAGGAGGAACAAGAGGACCAGCAGCACCCAUCUGCAGAUCAUGACAAUUUGAAGCCCUUUAGCAAGGCUUGUUUUAAAUAGGCAAGUUUAUAGGUACUUGAGCUGAGACCAGAAAACUUGCAGAGAUGUAACCAAGUGCUUCUAUGUGCCUGCUCUGUACUACUCCACCUCAUGGCUUGAAAGGCUAAUGGAGAGCCUUUUAUUCUUAGUUCAAAACUGGGCCUCAAUACUAUUGCCUUGUAUCAGCUAGAAGCCAGACAGUGUUUCAACACUUUGUAUGACGUGGUUCAGUGCUUGUCAGAGAGGAUAAGCAUCCAGACUGCAGAGCUGUACUGACAGGCUACCUUGCAGGAAGGCUCAGCAAAGAUGCCAAAAGGCUGAACAGGAGAAGGGCUGGAACUGCACGCCCCUCUCCUGGCAGCAGCCUUUCCUAAACAAAUGCUUGUAAAGUUGUUGCAGACCGAAUUUACUGUCGUUUCUGCUAGUGAGCACAAUUUUGCGUCAAAAAUAGUAGCAGCUGAAAUAUUUAAUGCCAUUAAAAUGCAGUUGAAAUCUAAA